rnacentral:rRNA from 1 species
UACAGAGGGUGCAAGCGUUGUUCGGAAUUAUUGGGCGUAAAGGGCGCGUAGGCGGUGCUGUAAGUCUGUAGUGAAAUCUCUGGGCUCAACUCAGAGUCUGCUAUAGAAACUGCAGUGCUGGAGUGUGGGAGAGGUGAGUGGAAUUCCCGGUGUAGCGGUGAAAUGCGUAGAUAUCGGGAAGAACAUCGGUGGCGAAGGCGGUCUGGCUGGG